rnacentral:tRNA from 2 species
GCAGUUGUGGCCGAGUGGUUAAGGCGAUGAACUAGAGAUCCAUUGGGGUCUCCCCGCACAGGUUCAAAUCCUGUCGACUGCG